GGCGGACGGGUGAGUAACACGUAGGCAACCUGCCUGUAAGACUGGGAUAACCCACGGAAACGUGAGCUAAGACCGGAUAAGUGAAAGCGAGGCAUCUGGCUUUCAAGAAAAGCGGAGUAAUCUGCUACUUACGGAUGGACCUGCGGCGCAUUAGCUAGUUGGCGGGGUAAGAGCCCACCAAGGCGACGAUGCGUAGCCGACCUGAGAGGGUGACCGGCCACACUGGGACUGAGACACGGCCCAGACUCCUACGGGAGGCAGCAGUAGGGAAUCUUCCGCAAUGGGCGAAAGCCUGACGGAGCAACGCCGCGUGAGUGAGGAAGGUUUUCGGAUCGUAAAGCUCUGUUAUCAGGGAAGAACGCUUUGGAGAGUAACUGCUCUGAAGGUGACGGUACUUGAGAAGAAAGCCCCGGCUAACUACGUGCCAGCAGCCGCGGUAAUACGUAGGGGGCAAGCGUUGUCCGGAAUUAUUGGGCGUAAAGCGCGCGCAGGCGGUUCUUUAAGUCUGGUGUUUAAGCUCAAGGCUCAACCUUGGGACGCACUGGAAACUGGGGAACUGGAGUGCAGGAGAGGAAAGUGGAAUUCCACGUGUAGCGGUGAAAUGCGUAGAGAUGUGGAGGAACACCAGUGGCGAAGGCGACU
rnacentral:rRNA from 1 species